UACGAAGGGGGCUAGCGUUGCUCGGAAUCACUGGGCGUAAAGCGCACGUAGGCGGAUUGCUAAGUCAGGGGUGAAAUCCUGGAGCUCAACUCCAGAACUGCCUUUGAUACUGGGGAUCUUGAGUCCGGGAGAGGUGAGUGGAACUGCGAGUGUAGAGGUGAAAUUCGUAGAUAUUCGCAAGAACACCAGUGGCGAAGGCGGCUCACUGGCCCGGUACUGACGCUGAGGUGCGAAAGCGUGGGGAGCAAACAGG
rnacentral:rRNA from 1 species